GCACUUCACACACGAGCCGUGCAAACCACAAGUAGUGCCCAAAUAUACUGCAUCUACUUUUUAGAAAAAUAAAUACAUUUGACUGAAGUGGACCACAGUACUCCUUGAAGUGGUCUGCAUUAACCCUUUUUUCAUGAAAAAUGAACCUCUCCAACAUACCAAGCAGACUGCACGCCGUAUCAAGCCAAGCUACAAGCCGAGCCCUGUGAGCUAGAAAAUUGUGUACAGUGAGCUGCAUAUCUAACAAAGUAUGUGACUACACACACAUGCGCGGAGUACUGCAUGGAUGCGCCAGGAGACCAUGAUCAGUAACUGCAAAAAAAUGGCCAACAGAGCUGCAACAAUGUGGUGGUGGAACCCGUGCUCCGAUUAAACACACAUAGAGGGAGCAACGAAGUGCACGCAUGGGGUGGACUCCAUGUGGCCACCCUCGGCUAGGCUGGAGGCAGCAGACCCGCAUAGCCACUCGUGUAACCAUCGUUCUCCUCUCAAGCAAAAAAAUACCACCGAUGAGAUGCACGACUGGAGGCGCAGGGGCGUGUCCCCUUGACGCGGGACUGAACUGCAUGCUCGUCAAAUGAACAACGCACACUGCCGCCGGCGAUGAGCUGCACAAAACCAUUCAAGAACAAAGUGAACUUCUCUUCUUGAGCAAAACUGCAGCCAGACACAAAAAAAAUCAAACAAAACAGAUGUGGCCUGCGCCGGGGUCAUCGAUGGUUCUGACAAGAGAAAAAUUGCAGCGUGACUCCCCAUACUCUCAUCACCAGCGAGGGAAGGAGGAGCUUGGGGGAGGCAGCCGUGGCCCCGUUCUGGAUGAGGACAGGGUGUCGCAAUAGCCGUGGCCUCCAGUGGAGAUGCGGCUCGAUGGGAAAGGGAUUGGGCGCAAUCCUUUUUUCUCCCCUGGUCAACGCGGCGGCCCCGGUGCCCACAGGCGAGACGGAAGACGGAUCCGGCAAGGAGCAUGAGGCAGACCACCGGGGCAUGCUGGAGCCGGGAGGGGGCGAGGCACCGGGAUGAGGGGUGAGGGGCGAGUCACCUCACACGCGUCGCCGGGCAGGAACGGGAGGAGGAUCCUGCCAGCUCAGGCGGUCGUAGCCGGGGCAGGUGUCCGGACGGGGGUUGGAGGAGCGAGGUGAAGGAGCAUCCCGCAGGAUCCGCCAUGGCCUGAUAGAUUCAUCGCUAGGUAUGGGAAGGACAGGAGGUGGAGGGUGGCCAAGAGGCACGGGUGGUUGGCGGGGAAGGAAGAGGAAGGUGGGCGGCGGGAAGGUGGUUCUCUGGGGAAGGGAGGUGGGCAAGAGGGAGGCCUUGCUCGCCUCGCACGGACACAGCAGGUGAAGUGGCGGCGUGGGGUCGCAGCCAGAAGAAGGAGGCGGGGGUGGGGCGGGACUCCGGCGGAGCUGGAAGAAGGUGGAGAAGGGGGUUGGGCGCCAGGAGGGAGGCGGCCGCUCGGGAUCCAGCGUCUGCGCCGCGCCAGAGCGCUGUAGUCGUGGGGGUGGGGAUUGGGGGUUGUUUCGCUGGGGCGUGGGCAUCGAGGAGAGGUGGGUGGCAACUUGACCGGGGAAGAAGGUGGGUUUGGUGGGUGUUAUUAGAAUAAGCGUUUUUGUUAUUAGAAUAAGACACUUAAGGGUGUUAUUAGGAUAGACCCACCCCAGCCCGUCUAUUCUGAUAAUAUUAUCAGAAUAGUUAUUUUGAUAACACUUCCGCACUGCAUGCUCAACGCGAGGGCACUGCACUUUCUUUAGCAAGACCACUGCAUUACACGGACUAAUGAACUUCGCGUCGGAAAAAACUGCGCGUAGUGUUUUUCGGUACUGUUUUCGCUCUAAUUUUGUAAUCGUUUAUCGGAACAUGGCAUGUAGUAUACCGUUGGAAAGCUACGGAUUAUGCGCAACUUCGCCAUGUUGAACACUUUUCAAGAUUCCCAACGGUUUAAGAGCAGUUUCAAAAACGGUGCGGCCCACAAAGAGUGGCAGCGAGCGUUUUUUCGUGUUUUUUUGUAAUGCGCUUGUCGGAAUGAGGCAAAUGAUACAUCGUUGGAUGGAUAUCGUCGAGGUGCAUCUUUUUCAUAACUAUUGUUUUCUCCAAUUCGUUAUGGUUUAAGAGCAGUUUCAAAUUUACUAAAUCGUGGAAUUCUGUUUUUUGAAAUUUUUGUAAUUUUCGGUACUGUUUUCGCUCUAGUUUUUGAACCGUUUGUCGAAACGAGGCGUGUAAUACGUCGUUGAAAAUCUAUGGACAAGGCGCAACUUUCAUAUGUAGAAAUGGUUUUGAGAUUCCUUGCAGUUUUAAGUUAAUUUUGAAAAUUGUGCGGCGGACGACGAGAGGCAGCGGUUGUUUUUCGCGAAAUUUUUACAAACCGAUUGUCGAAACGAUUCAAAUGAUAUGCCGUUGGAAAGAUAUCGACGAGACACAACUUUUUCAUGUAGAACACUCUCUCUAAUUCCUUACGGUUUAGGAGCAGUUUUAAAUUUAUCGAAAUACGGACACUCUGUUUUUCGCAACACCCAAAUCGACGUGGGUACUUCAUCCGACUGAAAACCGCACUCCAUCGGACGAAAAAACGCACUGCAUCAGACGUGUUAGAGAACUGCAUGGUUUAUUUUAUUCAAACGUAAUUUUUUUGAAGGACGAGCAAGUAGAGUGCACUUCACAUCGGGUGUAAAUGAACCACAACACUAUCAAGAAAUGAACCACAUUAUUUUUUUUUCGCUUUCAUAUCAUUUUUUUUGCAUUACGGGAUGAACAACACCACACGUCCGACCGCACUGCUUCAGAAUGAAAACCGCACUGCAUCAGACGGGCAAGCGAGCUGCAUAAUUUCUUUUUGUCGGACGUAAUUUUUCUCAUCCGAAUUUUUGUUGUCUUUGUUUUAACUUUUUUUAUGAACGAGAGUGGACCGCAGAGAGUAGUGCAAGUGAACCACAUCAUAUAUCGAAGUGAACCGCUUUACUUUUUUGUUGAUUCGCUAAAUUUUUCACAUUUUUCAUGCUAGGCGCAAGUGAACAACAUCACUCUUAAAAGUGAACCACAUCUGAUGACCAAGCGCACUUCAUGUGUUUAACAGAAUCGACAGAGUUUUGAAAUACACAAGCACAUCGUGCACUUCACACACGAGCCGUGCAAACCACAAGUAGUGCCCAAACAUACUGCAUCUACUUUUUAGAAAAAAUAAAUACAUUUGACUGAAGUGGACCACAGUACUCCUUGAAGUGGUCUGCAUUAACCCUUUUUUCAUGAAAAAUGAACCUCUCCAACAUACCAAGCAGACUGCACGCCGUAUCAAGCCAAGCUACAAGCCGAGCCCUGUGAGCUAGAAAAUUGUGUACAGUGAGUUGCAUAUCUAACAAAGUAUGUGACUGCACACACAUGCGUGGAGUACUGCAUGGAUGCGCCAGCCGACCAUGAUCAGUAACUCCAAAAAAAAUGGCCAACGGAGCUACAACAAUGCGGUGGUGGAACCCGUGCUCCGAUUAAACACACAUAGAGGGAGCACCGAAGUGCACGCAUGGGGUGGACUCCAUGUGGCCACCCUCGGCUAGGCUGGAGGCAGCAAACCCGCAUAGCCAGUCGUGUGACCAUCGUUCUCCUCUCAAGCAAAAAAUACCACCGAUGAGAUGCACGACUGGAGGCGCAGGGGCGUGUCCCCUUGACGCAGGACUGAACUGCAUGCUCGUCGAAUCAACACCGCACACUGCCGCCGGCGAUGAGCUGCACAAAACCAUUCAAGAACAAAGUGAACUUCUCUUCUUGAGCAAAACUGCAGCCAGACGCAAAAAAAUAAAAAAAAACAGAUGUGGCCUGCACCG
rnacentral:lncRNA from 1 species